rnacentral:rRNA from 1 species
AUACGUAGGGAGCGAGCGUUGUCCGGAAUUACUGGGUGUAAAGGGAGCGUAGGCGGGAUGGCAAGUCAGAUGUGAAAACUAUGGGCUCAACCCAUAGACUGCAUUUGAAACUGUUGUUCUUGAGUGAAGUAGAGGUAAGCGGAAUUCCUGGUGUAGCGGUGAAAUGCGUAGAUAUCAGGAGGAACAUCGGUGGCGAUGGCGGCUUACUGGGCUUUUACUGACGCUGAGGCUCGAAAGCGUGGGGAGCAAACAGGAUUAGAUACCCUGGUAGUCCACGCUGUAAACGAUGAUUACUAGGUGUGGGGGGACUGACCCCUUCCGUGCCGCAGUUAACACAAUAAGUAUUCCGCCUGGGGAGUACGGCCGCAAGGUUGAAACUCAAAUGAAUUGACGGGG